GCCGCGCCUCAGCGUCCAGGUGAGGCUGAGCGCUGCAGCCCGACCGCCUACCUUCCUCAGCGCGGGUUGCCGCGCCCGGGCGGACGCCGCGGGCCCUGACGACUCGGAACUGACCCUGUCCGCAGGCGAAGCACAUGCAUGACCUGACUGAAGGAUGGCUGAUUUUCUGUAUCAGCUGCCAUGCCGUGAUGACUUCUAGAAGAGAGGGGAGUGAGACAGGAGACUGCUGGACUAUCUCCAACAGGAGAACACCAAGGCCUCACUGAGAGUGUCAGACGAGUCUGGAUGGCAGGGGUUACAUGCUGUCCCUCAACCGAGUGCCAUCUCACCCGGGACCCAUCAUAGCCCAUGCAGGACCCAUCGGUUCAUCUUCUGCUGCAGCGUUCAUAGUUCUAGAGCCUGGACCUUGGAUGCAA